AUGGAGGAAGAAAAUAUACAAGAAAAGGAAAGUGAUGGUCUUGAAGAUUUUUGGAAUGAGUACUCAGUGGCACUUGAAAGAUCUAAGCUCGACACACUUGAAGAGGCAGCCAAUGAGAAAGAGGUGAACAACGUCUGCAAUCAUGAAAUACAGAUUCAUGAAGAUCUGGGCCAUGUAUGCCGUGUCCGCGGUAUGAUUGUGAGAAGGCCUGACACAAUCAUUGAUUAUCAGUGGAGAAAGGUCCAGGUAUUGCUAGUUCAGCAAUCAAUGGAGGAGGAAAUCCAUACAAUGCUUGGAAAGGGCUCAUUUUCAGUGCUGUAUGAUAGCUGGUGUUGUACCAAUAUUCAGCUAGUGGUAACCAUGAUAACCACUUCUUUGGCUCUUGUGUAG
rnacentral:rRNA from 1 species